AUUCGACUGACGAGUCCCGAAUAGGACAAAACGCGUGUUCUGAAU
rfam:Schistosoma mattheei strain Denwood, Zambia genome assembly, scaffold: SMTD_scaffold0011960